rnacentral:lncRNA from 1 species
UUCCAGCUGAUGGCUCCACAUCUUGGGGGAAGGCUCUGAUUUCAUGACGGGCUGGGGGCUUCUCAGGAUUCCACAGCCCAAAUGGCGGGACAGUUCAGGGGCUCCAAGACCAUCAGGAGCAUGUGGUACCCACAUCACAACCCAAGACCAUGGGGCAUCUGGACAAGGAAGGUCUAUGCACACAGGGUUCCUCAUUCAGCUGGCUUCUCCGGGUGCUGAAUGAUGGGAUCUCUCUCGGGCUCACCCCGUGCCUGUGGGAUAUGUAUUUGCUGGAAGGGGAACAGAUGUUGAUGCUGAUAACAAGCAUUGCCUUUAAGGUUCAAAGGAGCCUCUAUGAAGAAACUAACAAGGAAACAUGGGGACCUGCCACCCCCAGGGCCCUCAAGGGCACUGGAAGAGCCAGACCCAUUUGUGAGAGCCUCCACUCCUCCCUGCAAGCGCUGACAGCCUCAGAGAGCAGCAGAGGCCCCUCACUCCUGCAGACUCCUCCAAGGGUGCCAGGACAACAAGCCUUGAGCCGGGGAGACAAGGGAAUCAGUGUCUCAUUAUCUCUACCAUCUCUACCAUCUCGGAGAGGGAGAUGUGGCAGGAUAAUAGGGUAAUAGUGGGGUGAGGGUCAGCAGGAAAACAUGAACAAAUGUCUCUGUGUCAU